rnacentral:rRNA from 1 species
GAUGAACGCUGACAGAAUGCUUAACACAUGCAAGUCUUUGGCGAAGCUGUGCUUGCACAGCCUAGCCAAGGCGGACGGGUGAGUAACGCGUAAGGAACUUGCCCUGCAGUCAGGGAUAACAGACGGAAACGACUGAUAAGACCUGGUAAAGUCAGGCGGACUCAUGUCCAGCCUGAUGAAAAGAGAUGCUGCAGGAGAGCCUUGCGUCCUAUUAGCUUGUUGGUGGGGUAACGGCCCACCAAGGCGAUGAUAGGUAGCCGGCCUGAGAGGGUGGACGGCCACAAGGGGACUGAGAUACGGCCCUUACUCCUGCGGGAGGCAGCAGUGGGGAAUAUUGGACAAUGGGGGCAACCCUGAUCCAGCAAUUCUGUGUGCAAGAUGAAGGUUUUCGGAUUGUAAAGUGCUUUCAGCAGGGAAGAAAAAAAUGACGGUACCUGCAGAAGAAGCGACGGCUAAAUACGUG